rnacentral:rRNA from 1 species
CAGCCGCCACGGUAAUACGUAGGGUGCAAGCGUUAAUCGGAAUUACUGGGCGUAAAGCGUGCGCAGGCGAUUUGUUAAGACAGAUGUGAAAUCCCCGGGCUCAACCUGGGAACUGCAUUUGUGACUGGCAAGCUAGAGUCUGGCAGAGGGGGGUGGAAUUCCGCGUGUAGCAGUGAAAUGCGUAGAUAUGCGGAGGAACACCGAUGGCGAAGGCAGCCCCCUGGGCCAACACUGACGCUCAUGCACGAAAGCGUGGGGAGCAAACAGGAUUAGAUACCCCAGUAGUCCCUGUCUCUUAUAC